rnacentral:rRNA from 1 species
CAGUAGCCACGGGAAUACGUAGGGGGCAAGCGUUGUCCGGAAUUAUUGGGCGUAAAGCGCGCGCAGGCGGUCAUUUAAGUCUGGUGUUUAAUCCCGGGGCUCAACCCCGGAUCGCACUGGAAACUGGGUGACUUGAGUGCAGAAGAGGAGAGUGGAAUUCCACGUGUAGCGGUGAAAUGCGUAGAUAUGUGGAGGAACACCAGUGGCGAAGGCGACUCUCUGGGCUGUAACUGACGCUGAGGCGCGAAAGCGUGGGGAGCAAACAGGAUUAGAUACCCCAGUAGUCCCUGUCUCUUAUACA